AAUUAGAAAGCGAAGAUUUGCAUUUAGUUUCGACCUAAAUUUUGGUUAUACCUCUAAUUU
rnacentral:tRNA from 1 species